rnacentral:rRNA from 1 species
AUGCAGUCGAGGGGUAUAGGUUUUCGGACCUAGAGACCGGCGCACGGGUGCGUAACGCGUAUGCAAUCUACCUUUUACAGAGGGAUAGCCCAGAGAAAUUUGGAUUAAUACCUCAUAGUAUUAUUGAAUGGCAUCAUUUAAUAAUUAAAGUCACAACGGUAAAAGAUGAGCAUGCGUCCCAUUAGCUUGUUGGUAAGGUAACGGCUUACCAAGGCAACGAUGGGUAGGGGUCCUGAGAGGGAGAUCCCCCACACUGGUACUGAGACACGGACCAGACUCCUACGGGAGGCAGCAGUGAGGAAUAUUGGUCAAUGGGCGCAAGCCUGAACCAGCCAUGCCGCGUGCAGGAUGACGGUCCUAUGGAUUGUAAACUGCUUUUGUACAGGAAGAAACAGUUCUACGUGUAGAACCUUGACGGUACUGUAAGAAUAAGGAUCGGCUAACUCCGUGCCAGCAGCCGCGGUAAUACGGAGGAUCCAAGCGUUAUCCGGAAUCAUUGGGUUUAAAGGGUCCGUAGGCGGUUUUGUAAGUCAGUGGUGAAAGCCCAUCGCUCAACGGUGGAACGGCCAUUGAUACUGCAAGACUUGAAUUAUUAGGAAGUAACUAGAAUAUGUAGUGUAGCGGUGAAAUGCUUAGAGAUUACAUGGAAUACCAAUUGCGAAGGCAGGUUACUACUAAUUGAUUGACGCUGAUGGACGAAAGCGUGGGGAGCGAACAGGAUUAGAUACCCUGGUAGCCCACGCCGUANACGAUGGAUACUAGCUGUUCGGAGCAAUCUGAGUGGCUAAGCGAAAGUGAUAAGUAUCCCACCUGGGGAGUACGUUCGCAAGAAUGAAACUCAAAGGAAUUGACGGGGGCCCGCACAAAGCGUGGAGCAUGUGGUUUAAUUCGAUGAUACGCGAGGAACCUUACC